UGUUAUCGGCUUGUUAUCGUCGCGCAACACGUGUCAAUAUAGGCGCGCAUUGGCCGCAACCGCUGGGUGCAUUCACCGACACAUGCGCACAUUAGCUGAACAAAACUCUUCAUAAACCGGCGGGAACAUGUUACUCAUGACUCAGUAUACAUGAUGCCACGGCUUGGCCGCGAUAGAUCACGCAUUACGGUUAUAACCCUUUCCUUUCUUCGUUUUUUUAUGGUAUUACCACAACCGUUUUCAUCAUUAAAAUUUCUUGACAGAUAGAUCAUAUACAUAACCUUUCUUUUUCAUUCGCGAUAUGAUAUUCAGUGUUGUGUUAUAACAAAGAAACGCGACCGAUGUAUCAAUUCAGCAACAUUCUCCCUCAUCGAGAUAAAAUAUUCUUUUUUAAUCAAAAAAAUCGAAGGAACAAAUAAAAAACAACGCAGAAUAUUUUUGGGAAAGGAAUGAUCGUUCGUUUAAUCAUAGAAAAACAACAAAAGAUUAAGGAAGAUUGCCUAUCCAACGAACACGUAUGAUUUGAGUAUGAGCAACAACGAAUGAACAGAAAAACAAUGAAUAAGUGAAUUAAUCAAUGAACUUGUUACAUAUCGAUGAAGCAUGGAGUUCCGUUUUUCCAAGUUAUGUGCAAACGGAUAAUUCAUUGGAAAUCCUGGAACGCAAGAUGUUGACAGAAAAAUCCAUUAAUUCGCAUAUCAAAUAACACCAAACACAAAAUCUGCAUUUAAAAUUAAUCCUUUUUCUCUUUCUUAUUCAAAUUAAUUCCAAAACUCGUUUUUACCUCAAAAUCAUAUUAUUAACUUGGAAUUGAUAUACUGUAAUACGAAGAUAUUGCUGAUAAAAAUUUUAUAUAAUGUGAUAUAAUUUAUAUAUUUCUAUAUAAUUAAAAAUCUAUAUACAUCGAAUUUAUUUCAUCAAAUAAUAUGGAUAAUACACAUAUAUAUAUAUAUACAUUAUAUACAAGAAUUCGUAUUCAACGAACAUUAUCGCUAUUAAUAUAAUACUAAUAAAAAUAAAUUGAUGUUUAUAGAUUAUGAUUAUAUCGAUAUAUAUCGUAUAUUCAUCGACAAGUAAAUAUUUUCCUCUUUUUUUUUAUAAAAACAGAGACACAGAUGGUAAUAAAACCGAUUAAUCAUCUCUAAUGUGUUUCCUGGUUUGAAAAUAUAUUUUCGACAUUUUUAUCAAGGUUUAUUUUAUCAGACAGCCUUUGAUGGAUAAAAAUGAUUCAUUAUUAAAAGAUUUGAUAAGAUGUCAAUCUUAUACAACUUUUGUCAGUCGAAGAACAUUCAUCCUUGGUGUUUUAAUCGAUCGUACAUAUCAACUUUUCUGCUGAUCCUUGCAUAAACAUUGUUAAAUGCUUCGAUUUAUAAAGUAUGUUUUAUCGUUGCAACGUGACUAAGAACAGAAAUGCAUAAUGCGGAAAUUCUGUAAUACCAUAUAUCGAGCAAUAUCAAUUUAUAGAAAAAAAAAAAAUAUUCAUAUUAUAUUAAUUCUGUUCACAUCUGAACCAAAUUCUCCAAGGCGAACGACCUUUAAACUUGAGUCAGAGUUCAUUGGCCGGAACCCAGAGACAUAAAGAGAUAUUUUGCAAAGGGUUAUAAGUACAAGAAGCUCAUAAAAUUGAACAAAGCCGAAGGAGUGACAUAAAUAUGACACGCAUAAAAAAUUUCAGAUUCAAGUUUACGAAUAUUACUUUGAGAAGUAAAUUUAUUAUUAUUCAAAUUUAUUAUUCUCUCAAAUUAAACAAAUAAGAGAAUUUUAAGAUAAUAAAUAGUAUAUGAAUAAAUAUAUGUAUUAGAACAUAUAUAUCAUAUAGAAUCUUUUUCUUGGAAAAAUAUAUUUAUUUCAGUAUUAUUUUUUAAAAAUGAUAUGAAUACAUUGAUAAAAAUUAGACACCUUAUAUAUCGUCGAUAGCUUCUGUUUAUACACGAAUAAAGGUGGUGAGCCUUGCACGUGAGAAAGUCAAAUCGAGGACGAAGACGAUUGAAAUGAGGAAAAGUAACGGAGCGAAUAACGGGUUGAUUUUAACGCAUCUUGCCGUUACGAACGCGUUUAUAAGCCUAGUUGUUAGGUCAUAGUAGAUCAUGUAAUUUUACGAUCGAAUGCAUGUUAAUAAUAUGCUAUAAUUAUAUGUUAAUAAUAUAUUUACAUAUUAAUCUUAAUGUUUAUAUUUAUUUUCGUUUUAUAAGAGAAUGCAUACUUUUGUAGAUAGAAAUAUUAAUCUAUUUAAUAUUAUUUUAAUUUUUAUUCAAUAUA